CGCGGGAUGGAGCAGUCUGGUAGCUCGUCGGGCCCAUAACCCGAAGGUCGUAGGUUCAAAUCCUACUCCCGCAAUCA
rnacentral:tRNA from 3 species